rnacentral:rRNA from 1 species
GACAGAGGGGGCAAGCGUUGCUCGGAAUUACUGGGCGUAAAGGGCGCGUAGGCGGGAUGGCAAGUCGGUCGUGAAAUCCCUCGGCUCAACUGAGGAUCGUCGAUCGAUACUGCCGUUCUUGAGGAUUGCAGAGGAGACUGGAAUUCCCGGUGUAGCGGUGAAAUGUGUAGAGAUCGGGAGGAACACCGGUGGCGAAGGCGGGUCUCUGGGCAACAACUGACGCUGAGGAGCGAAAGCGUGGGGAGCGAACAGG